UACGUAGGGACCGAGCGUUGUCCGGAAUCAUUGGGCGUAAAGAGCGUGUAGGCGGCCUUUUAAGUCCUGCGUGAAAUCCUGCGGCUCAACCGCAGACGGUCGUGGGAAACUGGAAGGCUAGAGUGCGGGAGAGGAGAGUGGAAUUCCUGGUGUAGCGGUGAAAUGCGCAGAUAUCAGGAAGAAUAUCCGUGGCGAAGGCGGCUCUCUGGGACGGUACUGACGCUGAGACGCGAAAGCGUGGGGAGCGAACAGG
rnacentral:rRNA from 1 species